GGUAUGGUAGCCGAGUGGGUAAAGCUCUUGUAGCUAUUGACCCAAUAUCGAUGGUUCGAAUCCAUCCCGGAGCA